CUUUUUGAGAAUAAUUUAAGGUCUAACCUGCCCAAUGAAAAUUUAAAUGGCCGCGGUAUUUUGACCGUGCAAAGGUAGCAUAAUCAAUAGUUUUUUAAUUGAAAGCUGGAAUGAAAGGUUGGAUGAGAAAAUAGCUGUCUCUAUUUAAAUUUUUUAUAAUUUUAUUUUUAAGUUAAAAAGCUUAAAUUUAGUUAGAAGACGAGAAGACCCUAUAGAGUUUUAUUAAUUAAUGUAUUAAUUUUUUUGGUAUUAAAUAGAUUUUUAUAUAAAUUAAUUUAGUUGGGGUGAUUGAAAAAUUUAAUUAACUUUUUUUUUAUAAAAUCAUAAAUUUAUGAAUAAAUGAUCCUUUAAUUAAGGUUAAAAGAUUAAAUUACCUUAGGGAUAACAGCGUAAUUUUUUUAGAGAGCUCUUAUCGAAAAAAAAGAUUGCGACCUCGAUGUUGGAUUAAAAUUAAAUUUUGGYGUAGAAGCUAGA
rnacentral:rRNA from 1 species